UAAUCAGUGGCAAGAACUGGUUUUCACCGAGAGAAGCUGGUCCUGACAUUCUGACAGCAAACUUCAGGCAUAACAUAUGAGCUGGAGAGGUGUGUCAGGGCCAGAGAGCACAGUGCACCAGAGCCCACCCCGCAACUGGCUCAUAAUAGGUACGUUACUCUGCCACUAGGAUUAAGCGUAAUCCAUACUUAGGUCUGAAACAUUUCUCCAAGGAAACAAUCUGCAGAGAUGCCUCACAGCAAAGGCUAGGUUCUCCAAUGUGGAAAAUGCGUGAUGAGAGCAAGCAUCCUUGUUUUAUUCCUGAGUUUAAAAGAAAUGCUUUGAAAUUGUGCCAUG